UGGUAGCAUAUGAUACGAAAAUUUAAUAUAAAAAAAAAAAAACAUUUAAUACAUGCAUACUGUAUUUAGUCAGAAUCAUAUAUAAUGUAUACAAUUAAUGUGAAUUAAGUGAAUUAUUUAUAGCACUGUUGAGGGUAACUGUACAUUUAUAUGUCGUUUAUAUGUUAUUUUAAUAUAUCUAAAAAAUAUUAUCUUGAUAAUCUUACAAAUAUUCUCAUAA